UACGAAGGGGGCUAGCGUUGCUCGGAAUUACUGGGCGUAAAGCGCACGUAGGCGGUCUUUUAAGUCGGGGGUGAAAUCCCGGGGCUCAACCUCGGAAUUGCCUUCGAUACUGUCUGUCUUGAGUCCGGGAGAGGUGAGUGGAAUUCCUAGUGUAGAGGUGAAAUUCGUAGAUAUUAGGAAGAACACCAGUGGCGAAGGCGGCUCACUGGCCCGGUACUGACGCUCAUGUGCGAAAGCGUGGGGAGCAAACAGGG
rnacentral:rRNA from 1 species